UACGUAGGGUGCGCGCGUUAAUCGGAAUUACUGGGCGUAAAGCGUGCGCAGGCGGGUUCGUAAGACAGGCGUGAAAUCCCCGGGCUUAACCUGGGAACUGCGCUUGUGACUGCGAGGCUAGAGUGUGUCAGAGGGAGGUGGAAUUCCACGUGUAGCAGUGAAAUGCGUAGAGAUGUGGAGGAACACCGAGGGCGAAGGCAGCCUCCUGGGAUAACACUGACGCUCAUGCACGAAAGCGUGGGGAGCAAACAGG
rnacentral:rRNA from 1 species